AGAUAAAUUCAUCGGGCGGUCCCUAUAUAUUCUGCUCUUUUGAUUGCUAUCAAAGAUUGUGUCGUAGCGAAGACUGGUCCUAAUGCUUGGGAGGCCUAAAGCAAAUCACUAAAUAUGUGGUCUUCUCGUAAAAGAAUUUGUAUAUGUAUUUGUUUUUUUUACUUAUAUAUUUUGAGCUGUAUCAAGGAUGGUGUCAGAAUCAUUCAUGUGA